rnacentral:lncRNA from 1 species
UAGCCCCUGACCUGAAAAUGAAAUUUCUAAUGAGACAACAAAUCACAUUUGAAAUUGUAUUCAAGGUUGCUGUUCCCACAGUUAUGGCCAAAACAAUCACUGUGGUUCUGGCUUUCAAAGUCACAGAACCUGGAAGAAGGUUGAGGAACUUCCUGGUAUCAGGAGCACCCAACCACAUUAUCCCCUUAUGUUCCUUAUUACAAUGUAUUCUGUGUGCAGUCUGGCUAGCAGUUUCUCCUCCC